GAUGAACGCUGGCGGCGUGCCUAAUACAUGCAAGUCGAGCGAACGGACGAGAAGCUUGCUUCUCUGAUGUUAGCGGCGGACGGGUGAGUAACACGUGGAUAACCUACCUAUAAGACUGGGAUAACUUCGGGAAACCGGAGCUAAUACCGGAUAAUAUUUUGAACCGCAUGGUUCAAAAGUGAAAGACGGUCUUGCUGUCACUUAUAGAUGGAUCCGCGCUGCAUUAGCUAGUUGGUAAGGUAACGGCUUACCAAGGCAACGAUGCAUAGCCGACCUGAGAGGGUGAUCGGCCACACUGGAACUGAGACACGGUCCAGACUCCUACGGGAGGCAGCAGUAGGGAAUCUUCCGAAAUGGGCGAAAGCCUGACGGAGCAACGCCGCGUGAGUGAUGAAGGUCUUCGGAUCUUAAAACUCUGUUAUUAGGGAAGAACAUAUGUGUAAGUAACUGUGCACAUCUUGACGGUACCUAAUCAGAAAGCCACGGCUAACUACGUG
rnacentral:rRNA from 1 species